AAAUUGAAGAGUUUGAUCAUGGCUCAGAUUGAACGCUGGCGGCAGGCCUAACACAUGCAAGUCGAACGGUAACAGGAAACAGCUUGCUGUUUCGCUGACGAGUGGCGGACGGGUGAGUAAUGUCUGGGAAACUGCCUGAUGGAGGGGGAUAACUACUGGAAACGGUAGCUAAUACCGCAUAAUGUCGCAAGACUAAAGAGGGGGACCUUCGGGCCUCUUGCCAUCGGAUGUGCCCAGAUGGGAUUAGCUAGUAGGUGGGGUAACGGCUCACCUAGGCGACGAUCCCUAGCUGGUCUGAGAGGAUGACCAGCCACACUGGAACUGAGACACGGUCCAGACUCCUACGGGAGGCAGCAGUGGGGAAUAUUGCACAAUGGGCGCAAGCCUGAUGCAGCCAUGCCGCGUGUAUGAAGAAGGCCUUCGGGUUGUAAAGUACUUUCAGCGGGGAGGAAGGGAGUAAAGUUAAUACCUUUACUCAUUGACGUUACCCGCAGAAGAAGCACCGGCUAACUCCGUGCCAGCAGCCGCGGUAAUACGGAGGGUGCAAGCGUUAAUCGGAAUUACUGGGCGUAAAGCGCACGCAGGCGGUUUGUUAAGUCAGAUGUGAAAUCCCCGGGCUC
rnacentral:rRNA from 1 species